CAGUCGCCGCGGGAAUACGUAGGUGGCAAGCGUUGUCCGGAUUUAUUGGGCGUGAAGCGAGCGCAGGCGGUUUCUUAAGUCUGAUGUGAAAGCCCCCGGCUCAACCGGGGAGGGUCAUUGGAAACUGGGAGACUUGAGUGCAGAAGAGGAGAGUGGAAUUCCAUGUGUAGCGGUGAAAUGCGUAGAUAUAUGGAGGAACACCAGUGGCGAAGGCGGCUCUCUGGUCUGUAACUGACGCUGAGGCUCGAAAGCGUGGGGAGCGAACAGGAUUAGAUACCCGCGUAGUCCCUGUCUCUUAUAC
rnacentral:rRNA from 1 species